GACGAACGCUGGCGGCGUGCUUAACACAUGCAAGUCGAACGGAAAGGCCCUGCUUGCAGGGUACUCGAGUGGCGAACGGGUGAGUAACACGUGGGUGAUCUGCCCUGCACUUCGGGAUAAGCUUGGGAAACUGGGUCUAAUACCGGAUAGGAGCCAUCUUUAGUGUGGUGGUUGGAAAGUUUUUUCGGUGUAGGAUGAGCUCGCGGCCUAUCAGCUUGUUGGUGGGGUAAUGGCCUACUAAGGCGGCGACGGGUAGCCGGCCUGAGAGGGUGUACGGCCACAUUGGGACUGAGAUACGGCCCAGACUCCUACGGGAGGCAGCAGUGGGGAAUAUUGCACAAUGGGCGCAAGCCUGAUGCAGCGACGCCGCGUGGGGGAUGAAGGCCUUCGGGUUGUAAACUCCUUUCGCUAGGGACGAAGCUUUGUUGUGACGGUACCUAGAUAAGAAGCACCGGCUAACUACGUG
rnacentral:rRNA from 1 species